rnacentral:lncRNA from 1 species
AGUGAGGAGUGGAGCUGAGACCAGUGUGCGGAACUGAACAUGUUUAUCACAGUUAGCGGGUGUGUCUGUUGGAGCUGCGGGGUCAGCUUCAUCCGGAGCCCUUUCUCUGCCCCUGUGCAGUGCUCCCAUUGAUCUGUGCCACUUACACACACCAAGCCCAGGCUCUGCCCCAAGAAAAAGCAGCUCAUAGCAUCACAGGAAGAGGCAGGAUCACAAGACUCUACUUGACCUGGUUUCCAAAUAAGUGAAAAUUCACAACUGUGUAAGCUUUGCUUGAAGAUAGAGAUCACCUGUAGUUAUCACAGAACUGACCACAAUAUGCCGCACUCUGAACAUCACUGUCCACAGUGGUAGGCUUACAUUAUCAGUGUCCUUGGGUUGGGCAAACAAAAGUAAGGAUAGCCUGCAACCAGUGUUUUGCUCACCUGGUCAUCUUUAUUCUGUAUGUAUUUACUAAGUCCAAGAUGUACCAAGCAGCCUGUUAUCAGUUACGCUCCUGCCCACACAGAGCCUGCCUUGACAGGUUAUAUAGAUCUGAGGGUGGGAGUCUCCUCCCGGGUGGACCUAAGUAUCCACAUGGAUCCUAUACAGUUGGGCAGUCAUGAACCUGGGAAAGGUGCCUCACACCUGCCCCUGUGUCACUCUUGGUCAGCAGAUACUCAGGUUCCAGGUUUGAUCUCCUCCUUACAGUCCACUGGCUGUAAUGGCCAUCAGAACCUCUUGAGAAAGACAGCUGUGUCCUGACCAGUAAAUCAGGGUCUUUCCAAAGGGACUUGACUGUAGGCUCUGUGCUCUGUGGAACUGGUACCUAGCCUGUGCCAGUGACACUGUAGACCACACAUCCACUACAGAAAUGCCAUCACAAGCUCAGAUCUCUAGUGGAUUCAAAAUGUAUACCAGCAGAAUUAGUCUGCUGGACAAAACUGGUUCUUCGGAUAGCUAAAACACUAGCAGGUUCUUUACCGCAUUCUGUUAAUGAUCUCAUUUGUUUAAAUGAGAGCUUUUUAAACUUCUGACUUAGGCACUAUGUCAUAUCCUAGCACAGAGUAGAUACGUGGGCUAGGAUGAUGUACAGAUAUCGGGAGAGAAUUUUGUUCCAUUAACACACACACACACACACAAUGUAUUGUUACAGAGAAUCAAAAGCAUGAGGGAGUUGACAUUAUACUUACAAAGUGGAACGAAGAAUUAUCUGGUUAUUUUUCUCAUUGCUGGUAUCCAAAAUUAUGACUGUAUCAGAUUUAUACCAGAUACAGUAGGACAUCUGCUAACCUUAAAGACAGAUGGGGAUAUUUUCUCCCUGUAUCUUCAGACUUCUGAAAUGGGAGACUUUCAAAGGAAAAGUGGAAAGUUCAACACUUUAGCUUCCUUCUAAAUCCAUAAUAGCUGCUAGCACUCGCAGCAUUUUUCUCUCCCGUGAAGUAUAAUAGUCUCACAAAGUAACGUAAUGCAUCAGAGCUCAGAAGAAAGGCUGUCCCUUCACGUUCUCCAUGGCACAGCCUUUGUGUCUACCUGCUGGUCACACGCAUUGGAUUUAAAGAUGCUUCAUUGAAUCAGGCAUGGCGGCCUGUGCUUGUGAUCCCAGUCCCUCUAGGAGGCUGACCUGAGAGAUGGAGGCCAGUCUGGACCAGAAGCAGAACCUUGUCAGGGAGAAAAAAUGUAAAGUACCAUGUGACAUGUGGAUUACCAGCCCCUCCCUUCAUCUCUGAGCCAUUUAUACGGUCACCGCACCAAGAGGCCUGAGCUGAGCAUGUUGGCUUCUGUGAGCCUAGAUGCCAGGGAGUGAUAGUGAUCUAAAGUUCUCAUCUUCCCCUGCCUCUCGUGGGCUAUGCCUGACAGUGGGCUGCUGUGAACACAGCUGAAUAACUCUCACCCCCAAAAACAAAAUU